rnacentral:rRNA from 1 species
CCGGUUUAACCGUAAACGUAAACCGGAAACGGAACCGUUAAACCCUUACGUCUAAUAAGUACGUAGGCCGGCUUUUGCUGGUCGCAGACUUCUUAGAGGGACUGUCAGCGUCUAGCUGACGGAAGUUUGAGGCAAUAACAGGUCUGUGAUGCCCUUAGAUGUUCUGGGCCGCACGCGCGCUACACUGACAGAGCCAGCGAGUUCUCACCUUGGCCGGAAGGUCUGGGUAAUCUUGUGAAACUUUGUCGUGCUGGGGAUAGGGCAUUGCAAUC